AGCUGGAUUUGCCUGGGUCAGACAGAGUGGGGCCGAGCUAAGGAGAAAGCAGGGGCCUGAGCUGAGCUGGGGAGCAGAGCUGUGCCAGAUCCAGAGAGAGCAGACCCUGUCCUGGGAGCAGAGCUGCAGCCCCAAAGCCAGAGGCACAGCCCAGAGAGAGCAGACUUGCCCUGGGAGCAGAGCUGUAGGAACCAGAGCCAGAGGGGCCAGAAAAGCAGCCCACGAAGCAGGUCUGUCCUGGGUAUUCUAAUUGCUUGAAACAAGGAAGAGGUGAUUGUGUGUCUACCCAGAAGUACAAGUUGAAGAAGACUUUGAUGAUGAACCUGAGGAAGACUUUGAUAUGGUGCAGGAACCAGAACCCCCGGCUGGGCCUUGCGCUCCUGAGAGGGAAACCAUGCCCCCAAGAGGGCAGGAGCAGCACCCCAGAGAGUGCAGGGGUAGACGGAGAAGGGGAUAGGGAUGGACAGGAGAAGCCAGGAGCAAUUUGAGUUCCUUAAAGCAAGGGAGGAGCAGUGUCUUCAGCAGGAGAAGAGACCUCUGGAGAUGGAGGUGAGCCACGCCCUAGGGAACAGGAACGUUCCCUAAUGGAGAGGCUUCGAGGACUGGUGACUGACAGACUGCAGCAUCUGUCUGCUGCUGAGGCCCCAGAACCAGCCCAUCAACUACCAUUGCUGCUGCCUUCUCUGGUUGCCACCCAGGGUGCUGCUGAGCCUGUAGGUCCUGUUCCAAUGACCACCCAGGAGAACAAUGCUGGGCGUGCAGGAAUUCCCGAAUGCCACCAUGUACUGGCCCCUAAAGCCCGUCAGAAGAGAUGUCCCUUAUUUUCACUGUGAGUCAUUAUCUCUUAUCAUUCACCCCUUCUGAUGGGAGACAGGUGCAAAGAUAUUAAACUGUGGGUGCUAUUCUUGGUUGUGAGCCGUUAAUUUAAAAAAAAUAUGUUCUGUUUUGAGAAUACUUCCUUAAAAUCUUUAUUACAUGUUACGUUUUGUUCAGUUGUAUCUGGCACCUCCUUCCUAAGUAUGAUGAACUGAGGGUGUUUUUUGAUUUGGGAAUGGACCUCAAGCUUCCUACCUUGUGUAAACAAAUGAUGUAUAAAAUUCUGGUGCUAUGACUAUGGAAAUAUUUCUGAGUCUCCCACAAAAUUAAAAAAUAUCUGAAGUCCCAGGGAUACAGAGCAGGGCUGGGGAAAGUGAAGUGUAUGUUAUAGAUGCUUUUCAACAUAGCAGGUGCCUUGCAUAGGGUUGAUCAAUGUCUGUCUUAAUGCAUUUGUUGAAUGUGUUGAAAAUGAAAAACCAAAGCCAACAACAAAAAAGGGAACAUACCAGCAAUCACACAGCAUCUGCCAGUACCCUGUACAACCUGCCCCCUAUCCAUCCCCAAAACCUUUAGCAUUUUCAAGCAGACCGGGGAAUUAGUGGUUUCUAACAACUGUGAAAUGUACUUGGCACUAGUGACCAUUUUAAGUUACUGAACACAGUGGCUGCAACACACCCACCCACACAGGAAACCCUCAUAAACAUUUUAAAAACAUUUAACUGCGUGUGGUAAUAGGGGUUUCUAAAGAUGAGUUAACUGUGCCAGGCUGUUGAGGCAUUAAAUAGUUAUUCAGGCACACGGUGAUGUCAUUUCUCUCCAUCACUGGGAAAAUCCCACACCUUAAACAUGUCUCAAAAGGUUGAUGUUAUGGGUUCAGUCCAGCAGUGAAUUGUGCUGUUCAGUACAAUACUUUGCAACCCAGUAUUCAGAAAAGUACAAACGGGUUCUUCACCCACCAAAGCGAAACUGGAAAC